rnacentral:tRNA from 1 species
GUAGUUUACUGGCAGACACAGCGGACUUAAAAUCCGCAGACCUUAAUCGGUCGUGGGGGUUCAAGUCCCCUC